GUGGGGAAUAUUGGGCAAUGGGGGCAACCCUGACCCAGCAACGCCGCGUGAGGGAAGAAGGUUUUCGGAUUGUAAACCUCUGUCCUAUGGGAAGAAGGAAGUGACGGUACCAUAGGAGGAAGCCCCGGCUAACUACGUGCCAGCAGCCGCGGUAAUACGUAGGGGGCGAGCGUUGUCCGAAAUUACUGGGCGUAAAGGGUGCGCAGGUGGCCUGACAAGUCAGAUGUGAAAUACCGAUGCUUAACGUCGGGGCUGCAUUUGAAACUAUGAGGCUGGAGUGCAGGAGAGGGAAGCGGAAUUCCUAGUGUAGCGGUGAAAUGCAUAGAUAUUAGGAGGAACACCAGUGGCGAAGGCGGCUUUCUGGACUGUAACUGACACUGAGGCACGAAAGCGUGGGGAGCAAACAGGAUUAGAAACCCUUGUAGUCC
rnacentral:rRNA from 1 species